GAGCGGCGAACGGGUGAGUAACACGUGAGUAACCUGCCCCAGACUUUGGGAUAACCCUCGGAAACGGGGGCUAAUACCGGAUAUGACAUGAGCUCGCAUGGGUUUGUGUGGAAAGUUUUUCGGUUUGGGAUGGGCUCGCGGCCUAUCAGCUUGUUGGUGGGGUGAUGGCCUACCAAGGCGACGACGGGUAGCCGGCCUGAGAGGGCGACCGGCCACACUGGGACUGAGACACGGCCCAGACUCCUACGGGAGGCAGCAGUGGGGAAUAUUGCACAAUGGGCGGAAGCCUGAUGCAGCGACGCCGCGUGAGGGAUGACGGCCUUCGGGUUGUAAACCUCUUUCAGCAGGGACGAAGCGAGAGUGACGGUACCUGCAGAAGAAGCGCCGGCCAACUACGUGCCAGCAGCCGCGGUAAGACGUAGGGCGCGAGCGUUGUCCGGAUUUAUUGGGCGUAAAGAGCUCGUAGGCGGCUUGUCGCGUCGUUCGUGAAAACCUGCAGCUCAACUGCAGGCUUGCGGGCGAUACC
rnacentral:rRNA from 1 species